UACAGAGGUCCCAAGCGUUGUUCGGAUUCAUUGGGCGUAAAGGGUGCGUAGGCUGCGUCAUAAGUCGGAUGUGAAAUCCCGGGGCUCAACCCUGGAACUGCAUUCGAUACUGUGGUGCUAGAGGACUCUAGAGGAAAUUGGAAUUCACGGUGUAGCAGUGAAAUGCGUAGAUAUCGUGAGGAACACCAGUGGCGAAGGCGACUUACUGGACACAUAUUGACGCUGAGGUGCGAAAGCGUGGGGAGCAAACAGG
rnacentral:rRNA from 1 species